GUACACAACACUGGGCAACAAAGAGGCGUGGCCUCUAUCACCGGAGCAGAACGUACAAACGUCAAUCACCAGCAAGGGAGGUGUCAAAAUGCCAUCAUGUCAGCGUACGAUAAGAUGUGUAAAGCUAACUGACCGCUAACAGACAUUUACAUGACAAAGGAAUGUGAAAUUCUAACUAGUUCGUAAGAGGCAAAAGGGUCUUUCACAACAGAGUCAUGAUUGAAAACCUACUUGUGAUACGGAACUGAAAGACGUCUCAGCAGUG